rnacentral:rRNA from 1 species
GAUGAACGCUGGCGGCGUGCCUAAUACAUGCAAGUCGAGCGAACGGACGAGAAGCUUGCUUCUCUGAUGUUAGCGGCGGACGGGUGAGUAACACGUGGAUAACCUACCUAUAAUACUGGUAUAACUUCGGGAAACCGGAGCUAAUACCGUAUAAUAUUUUGAACCGCAUGGUUCAAAGGUGAAAUACGGUCUUGCUGUCACGUAUAGAUGGAUCCGCGCUGCAUUAGCUAGUUGGUAAGGUAACGGCUUACCAAGGCAACGAUGCAUAGCCGACCUGAGAGGGUGAUCGGCCACACUGGAACUGAGACACGGUCCAGACUCCUACGGGAGGCAGCAGUAGGGAAUCUUACGCAAUGGGCGAAAGCCCGACGGAGCAACGCCGCGUGAGUGAUGAAGGUCUUCGGAUCGUAAAACUCUGUUAUUAGGGAAGAACAUAUGUGUAAGUAACUGUGCACAUCUUGACGGUACCUAAUCAGAAAGCCACGGCUAACUACGUG